ACUCAGGAACACCUUCAGGGAGUUUCCUCUCUAUACUGAGGCCUUUUCUGUUCCCUUUGGACAAACAGAGAACAUGACCAUCAGAUACCAGGAAUGAAGAAAGAAAUUUGAGAAGAUCUCACAGACAAUGGAAAAGGCCCAAUAUUCCGAGUCAGAUGGAAACUGCGGCUGCAGGAGAAGUUGCGACCCCUGUCAGUAACUCAGCAAAUGAAAAAACAGUCAUGAAAGCUCUUUACAGCACUAGGGUUAGAGCCCCUACUACUCUUGGAAAUCAAGUCCCUGAUGGAGGAUAGAGUGAAGUGGAAGACGCUUUCAAGUCUGGUUCGAGCGGGAGCUCGACCAAAGUAAAGUAAAAUUUCCACACUGUUUUGAACCUCAACAUGUGACACAAUGGGAAAAGAAGCCAUUUCAAAACAUCUUGAACAUUUAUUCAAGAACAUUUCAUUAAAAUUAGUCU